rnacentral:miRNA from 8 species
AGGGCCUGCUGAAAUACUCGCU